ACACUUGAUACAGAGUUCAAAGGAAAAAAAAAAAAUACAUCACAACCAAAAUGGAAUGUAUCAACAUUCACUUAGACUCAAUCAUAAAGAAAAUACUCGGUUCCCAUCCCUAUUGUAUACCCUGCUGCUCCCGCUAGUCAGCAUCAGCACUAAGUGUUGGCCUCGGCGCCCCGCCACGACACUACCCAUUUAGAAGGUCUUCGAGCUGUCAGAUGGAUCUAGCGGAGCAUAGUCCAACUUACCUACAUCCGUCUCUGACUUUGCCUUGAAGACGAUCGCUCUUGGGCGGUCCUCGCUUGGACCUGCGGCACAGACAUCAAUCGACGAUGCUCCCGUCGUGGAAGAGCUAAAAGCCUAGCUGCUGUAACCCGGUUUGAAAAUUGAACAGCUUGUCCUCCUUGGACAUAUCCGGAAUAUCUAGCAUCAAGGAUAUGAAUCCCUUGACGUAGUCCCUCACGGAUCUGGUAUGCUUCAAUUUCUGCAAUUCUAUCCUUGCCACCCACGCGGCGUUGGCGGGGAGAAAUUACUCGUGUAACUCCUUCUUGAUGUCCUCCCAAGAAGAAGAAGUUGUGUGGCCCGCUCGCAGGUCCUCUACCUGCCGGGUUCUCCACCAUAUCUUGGCGUCUCCGUUUAGAUACAUUGGCACCAAAGGCACCGUUUCUUUUUUUUCUUUGAAAUCCCACCGGACAGCCAAUUAUUCAUUUGAAGCAUAUUUUCACUUCCAAACACAACUAGCCAAUGGAGAAUCUUUCCAAACACAGACUCCAAUAUAGCAUCUUUCCACACACAAGACUCUAAUGAAGCAUCUUUUCAAAUAGAACACAACAUAUAUAUACAUAUAUACAUCUAACAGAUUUGAUAAAGCAACUGUUUGGAAACUUGUCAAGUAAUUAUUAGAAGCUUUAGUUAGCCCAGAAACCAUGGAAUAUCAUCUAGUAGAGCAACUGAAUGAAUUUUGUUUUUGUAAAUCUUGCACAAAGAAAAAGUUUUUGAAUGUAUCUCGAUUUCUCAGUUUUCUAUCUUUCUUCCAAGUUUGGUGUAAUUCCAUUUAGAAUACUCUCAGAAUGUAACUACAUCAUAUCUGAUUAUUAUAUGAAAUUGAGAGCUAUGAUAUCUUAUUCUACGCAUAGAAAUCCAAUCAUGCAAUCUAAUCAGAACAAGUGACAAAUCUUGGCUGGCAAUUUGAUAUUAAUUUCUGUGUUUGUUAAUUUAUACCCAAAUGCUUGUCAUUGCAGUGGAGCCUACAGAGAGAACAUUGGCUAAUCAAAAUAAUUUUGUGAGUUCAUACUUUUACUUAAUUUUCAAUCUUUCAUUUUUUUUUCACAGUACUUUAAGAACUUUCAUAGUUGUUGGCCCUGCAACUAAUGUUGAUAAUAUUCCUUACAAUUGCAAGAAAUAUAUGCCUUAAUCUCACUAUCCAAACUGUGAUAUGAAAAGGCACAGCUGGAAAUGGGUAUGAAGUUACAACCUAGAUCAAACCUUGGCAUGAGGUAAUGACGAAGAGAAAUCAAGUCGCCUUUCUAUAACCACAUCUUAAACUAGCCCAUGCAUUUAUGUCUUCUAAGUUGUAAAUUUCAAACCCAAUAUUUAGCUUCAUUUUGUAUAUCAAUGUUCACCUAGAACAAUUAUGAAAGGUUAGUGAUUAUAAGCAAUGCCGAAGAAAAUGCGGAGUUUUCAUGAAUUUUUUGAAAUUUUUAUUAUAAUCAUUAAUGCCAUUGUGAAUUGAUGUUUUGUAGAUUGAUCUUGGGGAGUAGGACUUUGGGUGGGAGCAGGCGAAGUAGAUGCAAUAUGAGAAAUUUUUAGUUUGAAUGUUAAAAUUUUCAGUGCAAUACUGAUAGAGUUUUUUAGGUUUUAUGGAACUGUAAACAAUAUUUUUUUUCUGGUAGAGAGCUGAAGCUCAAAAAAGAAGAACAGAGGAACAGAAACUAGAAACUAGAGAACAAUAUUCAUAGAAGAACAAGCAUUAUAAAGCCAGAAAGGCAAUUGCAUCCCUUUGGCAAAGAGAGAAAGCUCCGGAUUGAGGCGAGCUUGCUUGGAGAGGACAUCAGCAACCAAGUUUCCUUCUCUGUUUAUGAACUCAAGAUGAGGAUUCUAAAGUUGUUGUAGAAGAGCAAUAAGUCGACGGGCUUUCGACUCAAGAUGCCAGGGCACUGAGAUUUGAAAAUCCUUCACCAAGUUGAUGAGCCUCAUAUUGUCUGUGAAUAUAUAGGAAAGCCUCGAGUUUCUCUUGAUACACUCAUCCAAAGCCAAGGUCAUGGCUGCCACUUCCGCAAGAAUUGGAGGGUCCAAAGUAGCAAGAUUGGAGCCUGCUAACAAAAAAAUAUUGUCAUUAAGGGUAAUUAAGUAGCCUAAGCCGACAAGACUAGAUUCAUUAAUCCAAGAUGCAUCAGAGAAGAUGGAAACUGUGCGGUUAAAACGAUUCAAAGGGAGGAACUGGAGUAAGAAGCUGAAGGUUAUCAGCCAGCAUCCAUUCAAGUUGAGGACUGAGGUACACAGAGUCAUUUAUUUAUAGUGUGUGUUCUUACAUCUGCAUUUGAUUGAAAUCAAAUGAUAUGGAGAUUGGAAAUCUACAGCUAUAUUGGCAUAAUGUGAAUCUAUAGCUAUAUUUUAAGUC